rnacentral:rRNA from 1 species
UACGUAGGGUGCAAGCGUUGUCCGGAAUUAUUGGGCGUAAAGAGCUCGUAGGCGGUCUGUCACGUCGGCUGUGAAAUCCCGAGGCUCAACCUCGGGUCUGCAGUCGAUACGGGCAAACUAGAGUAUUGCAGGGGAGACUGGAAUUCCUGGUGUAGCGGUGAAAUGCGCAGAUAUCAGGAGGAACACCGGUGGCGAAGGCGGCUCUCUGGACCGACACUGACGCUGAGGCGCGAAAGCGUGGGGAGCAAACAGG